rnacentral:rRNA from 1 species
UACGUAGGUGGCAAGCGUUGUCCGGAUUUACUGGGUGUAAAGGGCGUGCAGCCGGGCUGACAAGUCAGAUGUGAAAUCCCGUGGCUCAACCGCGGAACUGCAUUUGAAACUGUCAGUCUUGAGUACCGGAGAGGUCAUCGGAAUUCCUUGUGUAGCGGUGAAAUGCGUAGAUAUCAGGAGGAACACCGGUGGCGAAGGCGGCCUGCUGGACUGCAACUGACGUUGAGGCCCGAAAGCGUGGGGAGCAAACAGG